AUCCAAUGAUGUUAUAUAGUAUUUGCUACUCUUGAAUGCCAUGAUGUAAAAAUACGUUCACUGAGGAU